UUAUUAGCUUUACCUAUCUUUAUUUGUUUUUGUAUAGUAGUGCACCUCUUCCAAGAAUGCGUACCACACCUCGAAAUAGUUCUUUCUUCCUUGACAUAUGAAAAGAAAGAGCUGGGAGGUAGAUUACUGUUGUGGUCUUAUUAGCUACAUGCCUACAGAGAUUUACCUGAAAGAUGCAUUUACAUUUUUCAAGGCUAUUAGACAUGUUCUUCAAUUAGUGCAAUUUUUUACAACUCUAAGAAACAAAAAAUAGAAAUCUAAAUUUCUCAGGGAUAGCUUGGAGGUUUUUCUGACAUCUAAUUUUAUUGGCUGAUGUUAUGGAUUACAAACAUCUAAUUCCCUCCUUUCCCAAAAGAAGAUGAAAAAAGAAAAGAAAAGAAAAGAAAAGAAAGGACAUUGGACAUUAAGCGGUGGUUGCUACUUACUCAUUCUUCAGUUUGGGGAUCAAUAAUCAUUACUUAUGCCUGUGUGGUGGUAUUGGAUUCUAUACCUAUCUUCCCCAAUUACGGGACAAUAUACCAUCUGGCAAAGUCACCUGCAUAUUGGCUCUCCGUCUUGGUUAUAAUAGUCUUAGCAUUACUCCCUCGCUUUAUUUGGAAAGUUAUACAUUAAAAUUUUUGGCCUUCAGAUAUCCAGAUAGCUAGAGAAGCUGAGAUACUGAGAAAAGAACCUAAUUAUUUUGGGUCUAAGCCAGAUCUAGGUUCCAGUUAAUAUGUAUAUUAUUAACUGAUCCAAUUUGCUAUGACCUGGCCAGAGUUUGUCCAGCCAAAUGUGAAAUUUAAUGUUCAUAUGAAAGUGACACAAGCUGACAUCAUUCCAAUUGGAUUUAGCAUUUAAAAUGACACAAAGGGAAGAGAGGGAAGUGCAGAUCCGAGGGGGAAUGCAGAGCCGAAGGGAGGGUGAGGAUUUGGUUGAUACUAAUGAUAAGAUGGUCUGGUCGGGGAGGAAAAAUGGGGGGAAGAGUGGGAUAGAGUUCUUUUAGGAUUUUGUUGAUAUUUGUGGGGUUUACUAUUGGAACUAGCAUAUAAGCAGAAUCUGUAGUCGGAAUUUCAUCAAGGUAAAUGUCAGGAGUACCAGUAGAGAAAAACAAAAGUAUUAUAAUAGUUUCAAUUAGGAUGAAUUGAUAGAGACUAACUAGUUACUUCAUGGAUGCCUAUUGUACUUUCAAUUGUGCCUAAGUCCCUUAUUGUUAUCAUGGCAUCCAUCAGGCAGUCUUCCUACCACAUCAUGUAGCGGUAAUACAUCACAUGGCUCAGUUUCAGCUGGUACGUAUAAGUUUUUGACUUUUUAGUAGUA